rnacentral:rRNA from 1 species
UACAGAGACUGCAAGCGUUAUUCGGAUUCACUGGGCGUAAAGGGUGCGCAGGCGGCCGUGUGUGUGAGGCGUGAAAGCCCGGGGCUCAACCCCGGAAUUGCACCUCAAACUACAUGGCUAGAGCAUUGGAGAGGGAAGCGGAAUUCACGGUGUAGCAGUGAAAUGCGUAGAUAUCGUGAGGAACACCAGAGGCGAAGGCGGCUUCCUGGACAAUUGCUGACGCUCAGGCACGAAAGCGUGGGGGAGCAAACAGG